CACAGGCGGUGGAGCAUGUGGUUAAUUCGAAGCAACGCGAAGAACCUUACCAGGUCUUGACAUCCCGAUGCUAUUUCUAGAGAUAGAAAGUUACUUCGGUACAUCGGUGACAGGUGGUGCAUGGUUGUCGUCAGCUCGUGUCGUGAGAUGUUGGGUUAAGUCCCGCAACGAGCGCAACCCCUAUUGUUAGUUGCCAUCAUUCAGUUGGGCACUCUAGCGAGACUGCCGGUAAUAAACCGGAGGAAGGUGGGGAUGACGUCAAAUCAUCAUGCCCCUUAUGACCUGGGCUACACACGUGCUACAAUGGUCGGUACAGAGGGUUGCCAACCCGCGAGGGGGAGCUAAUCCCACAAAGCCGAUCGUAGUCCGGAUCGCAGUCUGCAACUCGACUGCGUGAAGUCGGAAUCGCUAGUAAUCGUGGAUCAGCAUGUCACGGUGAAUACGUUCCCGGGUCUU
rnacentral:rRNA from 1 species